AUUGAACGCUGGCGGCAGGCCUAACACAUGCAAGUCGAGUGGUAACAGGGGUAGCUUGCUACCCGCUGACGAGCGGCGGACGGGUGAGUAAUGCAUAGGAAUCUGCCCGAUAGUGGGUGAUAACCUGGGGAAACCCAGGCUAAUACCGCAUACGUCCUACGGGAGAAAGGGGGCUCCGGCUCCCGCUAUCGGAUGAGCCUAUGUCGGAUUAGCUGGUUGGUGAGGUAACGGCUCACCAAGGCGACGAUCCGUAGCUGGUCUGAGAGGAUGAUCAGCCACAUCGGGACUGAGACACGGCCCGAACUCCUACGGGAGGCAGCAGUGGGGAAUAUUGGACAAUGGGGGGAACCCUGAUCCAGCCAUGCCGCGUGUGUGAAGAAGGCCCUCGGAUUGUAAAGCACUUUCAGUGAGGAAGAACGCCUGGUGGUUAAUACCCAUCAGGAAAGACAUCACUCACAGAAGAAGCACCGGCUAACUCCGUGCCAGCAGCCGCGGUAAUACGGAGGGUGCGAGCGUUAAUCGGAAUUACUGGGCGUAAAGCGCGCGUAGGUGGCUUGAUAAGCCGGUUGUGAAAGCCCCGGGCUCAACCUGGGAACGGCAUCCGGAACUGUCAAGCUAGAGUGCAGGAGAGGAAGGUAGAAUUCCCGGUGUAGCGGUGAAAUGCGUAGAGAUCGGGAGGAAUACCAGUGGCGAAGGCGGCCUUCUGGACUGACACUGACACUGAGGUGCGAAAGCGUGGGUAGCAAACAGG
rnacentral:rRNA from 1 species